UACGAAGGGGGCUAGCGUUGUUCGGAUUUACUGGGCGUAAAGCGCACGUAGGCGGAUCUUUAAGUCAGAGGUGAAAUCCUGGAGCUCAACUCCAGAACUGCCUUUGAUACUGGCGAUCUCGAGUCCGGGAGAGGUGAGUGGAACUGCGAGUGUAGAGGUGAAAUUCGUAGAUAUUCGCAAGAACACCAGUGGCGAAGGCGGCUCACUGGCCCGGUACUGACGCUGAGGUGCGAAAGCGUGGGGAGCAAACAGG
rnacentral:rRNA from 1 species